rnacentral:rRNA from 1 species
CUUGGUCAUUUAGAGGAAGUAAAAGUCGUAACAAGGUUUCCGUAGGUGAACCUGCGGAAGGAUCAUUAUCGUACAACUGAGGUGCGAGGGCUGUCGCUGACCUUGUGUCGUGCACGCCCGAGUGCUCUCAAACAUCCAUCUCACCCCUAUGUGCACCACCGCGUGGGUCCCCUUUUGGCUCGUUCAGAGGGGGGCUCGCGUUUUCACACAAACUUGAUACAGUGUAGAAUGUCUUCCUUUGCGAUCACACGCAAUUAAUACAACUUUCAACAACGGAUCUCUUGGCUCUCGCAUCGAUGAAGAACGCAGCGAAAUGCGAUACGUAAUGUGAAUUGCAGAAUUCAGUGAAUCAUCGAAUCUUUGAACGCACCUUGCGCCCCUUGGCAUUCCGAGGGGCACACCCGUUUGAGUGUCGUGAAAUUCUCAAAAACCUUUCUUUGGAAAGGAUUUUGGACUUGGAGGCCUUUUGCUGGUUUCACCUUGAAGCGAGCUCCUCCCAAAUGGAUUAGUGGGGUCUGCUUUGCUGAUCCUUGACGUGAUAAGAUGUUUCUACGUCUUGGGUUUGGCACCGUCACUUGGGCACCCGCUUCUAACCGUCUCAUCGACAAUGAUGGCGUUCCGGUCGACCACCGUUUCAUCGGUGGGAGGCUUGACCCACCACAAACCUUGACCUCAAAUCGGGUGAGACUACCCGCUGAACUUAAGCAUAUCAAUAAGCGGAGGA